UUUGACGUUAGCGACAGAAGAAGCACCGGCUAACUCCGUGCCAGCAGCCGCGGUAAUACGGAGGGUGCGAGCGUUAAUCGGAAUUACUGGGCGUAAAGCGCAUGCAGGUGGUUUGUUAAGUUCAGAUGUGAAAGACCCGGGGCGUCAACCUCGGAAUUGCAUUUGAAACUGGCAGACUAGAGUACUGUAGAGGGGGGUAGGAAUUUCAGGUGUAGCGGUGAAAUGCGUAGAGAUCUGAAGGAAUACCGGUGGCGAAGGCGGCCCCCUCGGACAGAUACUGACACUCAGAUGCGAAAGCGUGGGGAGCAAACAGGAUUAGAUACCCUGGUAG
rnacentral:rRNA from 1 species